rnacentral:rRNA from 1 species
GACGAACGCUGGCGGCGUGCUUAACACAUGCAAGUCGAACGAAGAGCGAUGGAAGCUUGCUUCUAUCAAUCUUAGUGGCGAACGGGUGAGUAACGCGUAAUCAACCUGCCCUUCAGAGGGGGACAACAGUUGGAAACGACUGCUAAUACCGCAUACGAUCUAAUCUCGGCAUCGAGGAAAGAUGAAAGGUGGCCUCUAUUUAUAAGCUAUCACUGAAGGAGGGGAUUGCGUCUGAUUAGCUAGUUGGAGGGGUAACGGCCCACCAAGGCGAUGAUCAGUAGCCGGUCUGAGAGGAUGAACGGCCACAUUGGGACUGAGACACGGCCCAGACCUCCUACGGGAGGCAGCAGUGGGGAAUCUUCCGCAAUGGACGAAAGUCUGACGGAGCAACGCCGCGUGAGUGAUGACGGCUCCGGGUUGUAAAGCUCUGUUAAUCGGGACGAAAGGCCUUCUUGCGAACAGUUAGAAGGAUUGACGUACCGGAAUAGAAACACG